AUUAUAUCACGAAGGUCCUACGCAUAAUUUUAGCCUGCAAAGUCUUACCUAUUUAAGAGUGGACGGGUGCACUAUGCUGAGACGUCUCCUCUCAUCAAUGCUUGCUCGAAAUCUGUUGCAAUUAGAGAAGUUAGAAAUUUAUAAUUGCUGGGAAUUAGAGCAAAUCAUUGCUGAGGAUGAGGAUGAGGAGCAUCUCCAACCUGUAGGUCCCACGCAUAAUUUUAGCCUGCAAAGUCUUACCUGUUUAAGAGUGCACGGGUGCACUAUGCUGAGACGUCUCUUCUCAUCAACACUUGCUCGAAAUCUGUUGCAAUUGGAGAAGUUGGAAAUUUAUAAUUGCCGGGAAUUAGAGCAAAUCAUUACUGAGGAUGAGGAUGAGGAGCAUCUCCAACCUGUAGGUCCCACGCAUAAUUUUAGCCUGCAAAAUCUUACCUAUUUAAGAGUGGACGGGUGCACUAUGCUGAGACGUCUCUUCUCAUCAACACUUGCUCGA
rnacentral:lncRNA from 1 species